ensembl:miRNA
GAAUGGUUACAAGGAAAGAACACUGGACUUGGAGUCAGAAGACCUUCAUCCAAGUCAUUCCCUGCUCUAAGUCCCAUUUCUGCUCCAUGAGAUUGUUU